AGCAUAAUCAUUUGCCUUUUAAUUGGAGGCUUGUAUGACGGACACACGAAAACGCAACUUUCUUAUCGAGGAAAAUAAAAAUUAACCUUCAAGUGAAGAGACUUGAGUACCAUAAAAAGACGAAAAGACCCUAUGGAGCUUUACUUAAGUUAUUAAACCACAAAUAAAAAAAGCUUUUUUUACUAAAAAAGUUUAGUUGGGGCGACUAAGGAGCACACACCACCCUCCUACUGACAAAAGACUCUAAAUCUACAAAAGAUCCACAAACGUGAAUAAAAAUCCAGCUACCCUAGGGAUAACAGGCUAAUCCUCCUUAAGAGCUCAAAUUGACAGGAGGGCUUGGCACCUCGAUGUUGGCUUAAGAUCUCUACUAAGUGCAGCAGCUUAGGUAGUAGGUUUGUUCAACCUUUAAAA
rnacentral:rRNA from 1 species